rnacentral:rRNA from 1 species
UGGGGAAUAUUGCACAAUGGGGGGAACUCUGAUGCAGCCACGCCGCGUGAACGAAGAAGGCUUUCGAGUUGUAAAGUUCUUUUAUAUGGGAAGAUAAUGACGGUACUAUAAGAAAAAGCCGCGGCUAACUACGUGCCAGCAGCCGCGGUAAUACGUAGGGGGCUAGCGUUGUCCGGAAUCACUGGGCGUAAAGGGUUCGCAGGCGGAAAUGCAAGUCGGGUGUAAAAGGCAGUAGCUUAACUACUGUAAGCGUUUGAGACUGCAUAUCUUGAGAAGAGUAGAGGGAAGUGGAAUUUUUAGUGUAGCGGUGAAAUGCGUAGAUAUUAAAAAGAAUACCGGUGGCGAAGGCGACUUACUGGGCUCAUUCUGACGCUGAGGAACGAAAGCGUGGGUAGCAAACAGG